rnacentral:rRNA from 1 species
UACGGAGGAUGCGAGCGUUAUCCGGAUUUAUUGGGUUUAAAGGGUGCGCAGGCGGCGAGUUAAGUCAGCGGUAAAAUUUCGGGGCUCAACCCCGACAAGCCGUUGAAACUGGCUUGCUAGAGUGGGCGAGAAGUAUGCGGAAUGCGUGGUGUAGCGGUGAAAUGCAUAGAUAUCACGCAGAACCCCGAUUGCGAAGGCAGCCUUCCGGCGCCCUACUGACGCUGAGGCACGAAAGUGCGGGGAUCGAACAGG